AACGAAUCUUUUGUAAUAUAGAAUUUAAUCUUUUUAGGUUAUCCUCUUAAAAUCUUUGGGACUAACGGCAAUAUGUGAUAAGGACUAAGGAGAAAGAAAGAAAAAAUGUGGUCGUCAAGCUUCUUAGCUUUCUCUCCUCCUUCCAAGCUUUCUCUAUUGUCAUCAUCUUCUUUUGCUUCCUCUUCUCAUCAUCGAAAAGUCCAAACCUUCCUCUGUUUUACUCAAAAUCAUUCGUCCGCUGUUGGCAUCAGUUUCAGCAAGAGACACUUGAAUCUCUCGAUUCUCACCCUCUUGUUCAAUGGUGGGUUCUUGUUAGAUAAGGCUAAAUCCAUGGCAGAAUCGGGAGAUCUUCAAAGAUACACCGACUCCAAAGAUGGCUUCACUCUUCUCGUACCCUCUUCUUGGACUAAGGUGGAGAAAGCAGGGGCCAAUGUUCUCUUUGAGGAACCAGAGAAGCGAAGCAACAAUAUAGGAGUUGUGGUUAGUCCUGUCCGAAUAAAGAGUCUUGAAGACUUUGGUACUCCUCAAUUUGUAGCUGAUAAGCUCAUCAACGCAGAGAAGCGAAAGGAAAGUACAAAGGAAGCAGAAGUUGUAUCAGUAGGAGAGAGAUUAGGACAAGGACAAGUGUACGAAUUUGAAUACAAAAUUGAUAGCACGAGAGGAGGAAUCAAAAGGGUUUUCUCGGCUGCGUUUGUGAGCUCUAAGAAGCUUUAUAUACUGAACGUUGUUCAUUCAGACAGUCCAGAGAAUCCAUUGGCUUCAAGUACGAGAGUGUUGUUGGAACAAGUUCUUCACUCCUUUGAUGCUCUGCCUCUCACAUAAACCCACCAUCCAAAUAAUAAAUCUUUCUUGUAGAGCCCAUUUGGUAUUUCUGGGCUUAUUCUUGAGUUUUAAGGCUUCUAGCAAUCUAUUAACCCCAAUAAUUUUGAGGUUUCUUUUAUUACGAAUAAUGUGGUGGGACUAGUUGAACACUUCUUUCUUUCUCAUGUAUAUGUCAUGUAUUUGAUUAAGAGCAACAAUUAAAAUGUGAGCUCCAUACAACUAUAUGAAUGGAACUUGAAAAAAAGGAUUUGUUUUCCGAGUCAAUGAUGAUUUUGUAAAAAUAAUGAAUAUAAAGGAUUUUGUUUUCGAGUCA